AGAGUUGGUGGUUCGAGGUGCGAGUAAGAGUGACGACGAUUGGUCAGCCCUGGCUGCCUGGGCCUGGGCGGGAGCUCCCGGCGGCGGAGGCCGCGGGUGGGGGCCGAGUGGAGUGGAGGGGCAGCAAGAUGGCGGCGGAGACAGUGGAGCUCCAUAAACUGAAGCUUGCUGAACUAAAGCAGGAAUGUCUUGCUCGUGGUUUGGAGACCAAGGGAAUAAAACAAGAUCUCAUCAACAGACUCCAAGCAUAUCUUGAAGAGCAUGCCGAAGAGGAGGCAAAUGAAGAAGAUGUAUUGGGAGAUGAAACAGAGGAAGAAGAACCAAAGCCCAUAGAACUGCCUAUCAAAGAAGAAGAACCCCCUGAAAAAACUGUUGAUGUAGCGGCAGAGAAGAAAGUGGUAAAAAUCACAUCUGAAAUACCACAGACUGAGAGAAUGCAGAAGAGAGCUGAACGAUUCAAUGUGCCUGUGAGCUUGGAGAGCAAGAAAGCUGCCCGGGCAGCUAGAUUUGGGAUUUCCUCAGUUCCAUCAAAAGGUCUGUCAUCUGACCCCAAGCCUAUGGUUAACCUGGAUAAACUAAAGGAAAGAGCUCAAAGAUUUGGUUUGAAUGUCUCUUCAAUCUCCAGAAGGCAGUUACUGUUUUCUUUAUAUUGCCUGAGGAUUUUCCAAAUGUGGAAGAGAAGGAGCAAAGUGGAUUUUGAAAAGUUGAAGAUGUCUUCUGAAGAGCUCAGUUUGGAACCAUCUUACUCCACGAUGGAGAAAACAUCUGAAGAUGAUGAGAAGCUGAAAAAGAGGAAGGAGCGAUUUGGGAUUGUCACAAGUUUACCUGGAACAGGAAACACAGGGGAUACAGAGGCAAAGAAGAGGAAAAGAGCAGAGCGCUUUGGGAUUGCGUGAUGAGAAAGCUGCUUGAUGCUUUCUGUUAUCCAGUGGUUUCCAGCUCUCUGUCUCUUCUUGGCCACAUAUAUACCUGAAUGCAGAGUCCUGUGCCUAGGUCCUGCCUUGCAAUGAGGGAGCGUGUACCCAGGUUCAAGUGCUGGAUUGUGUCAUGUGACCACCCCAAAACUCAGAGCACUCUAUGGCCAUCUUUGCCCUCUGUCACAUAACUUGAAAACUGCCUGAUAGCCUUUUUGCAGUGGUUCCCUCCAGGAAGCCUUGAUCUCAGUGAAGAAGUCCUUUCCCAACAUUCCAGUACCUUGCCAGCCCCAUACUCCUCUGACACCCUUAACAAAGGCAAUCACACAGUGUAACAAAAUACACAAAGUAAAUAAUCAUUACAUUAAUCAUGGUUGGAGGGCACUGGCCAUGUCCACACAUAAGGUGGGAAGUGAGGGCUCUAGUUCCCACUAGGUUGCUGGGCUGUGCCCCCAAGCCUAUACCCCAUGCCUCUGGGGGUGGAGAGGACCAGGGGACUGAGACUUCAGCUUAUGGACUGACGUUCAUAAGAGAAAGACCUUCCCCCAAAGGUUAUUUGGUGGUAUUAAAGGGUCAUAUUCUAAUGUCCCCAGAUGUAAUGCCCCAUCUCUCUAGAAUUUGUAGAGAGAAGUACCUGAUGCCCUGUACCAAGAUCAAGAGGCAUGGACAUGUGACCUCGGGAGAGUCAUCUUCUGUUCUUCACUCUGUUCCUUUCCUUCCACCAAAGGAGUGUGCAUGGUGUUGAUGGUCAGGUGUGUCUUGUUCUCCAAGAUUGGGGCAGGAUGGGUGAAGAACAGGAGAGGAGAAGCUGGGGGUUAUUUAGUACACUUGCUGUUGGGAGGAGGUGAGAUGCAAUGCUUUAUAGCCCCUGCCCAUUUAUGUACUGAAAUACUUCCUCUAAUUUUUUCAUUAUGGGAAUGGGAAUAAGAUGCUAAAGCUCACCGACAUAAUCUUCAUGAGGGUGGUCACAUACCUUUGCCCUUUCCACUGAUGGCCCAGGUGCGAGUCAUGGUCUUGGGAAGAACAAUCUCCUGGGUCAGCUCUCCAGCUUGGGCUUUCAGUUCUGUUUUCAUCAGACCCAUAACUGCUGUCUUUACUUAGAGUGACAGUUUUGCUGAAGGUUCUUUCUCCCUCCUCUCCUGACCACCUCGAGGCUCUUGCUUGGAACCAAGAGGUUUGGUGGUGAGGUAUCGUUGGGUGUGGAUCAGGAGAUUCUCAGUUCCUUGCCUUCAGGCACUGUCCAGCUGGGAGGCACAGGGGAUCUUGUACUCAGAAGCCUUUGACUCCUUUAAGCCUCAUCUCUUCACCACUACUCUGGUGCCCUGGUAUCUGUCCCACAGCGAGAGGUAUUUUAUGUCCAUAAAGUGCCCAUGGUAAGUGCUCAGAAUUCAUCUCUUGGCUGUGGUGGGUGCUGCUAUUUCUCAUUCCAUUGAGGGAAGAAACCGAGGCACACUGAGUCCAGAGGAGGUUGCAUUGGGAUUGUAGGAGGAAUGAGUAGUCCCAGCCGGGAACUGGGAUUGGCAACCAGUCCCCUAGCUGCUUUGUAGCCUUCCAAACCAGGGAGCCUGCGUCCUUCCCAUCCUCUGCUCUAACUGGCCUUGUCAGAUGUUUUUCCCCACUGUACUUCCCCCUCCCUGCUGCCAGGUACUGCUAGAUUUAAAAAAUAAAAGAUAAAAAUAAU